rnacentral:rRNA from 1 species
CCCCUAGAUGUUCUGGGCCGCACGCGCGCUACACUGAACAGUUCAACAAGUCUUAACCUUGGCCGAUAGGUCUGGGUAAUCUUUGAACGCUGUUCGUGAUUGGGAUAGACCUUUGCAAUUAUGGGUCUUCAACGAGGAAUUCCUAGUAAACGCAAGUCAUCAGCUUGCAUUGAUUACGUCCCUGCCCUUUGUACACACCGCCCGUCGCACCUACCGAUUGAAUGGUCCGGUGAAAUCUCGGGACGGCGGCUUGGUCGCUUGCGUCCGACUGCUGAAACUUGAUUAAACCAUAUCAUUUAGAUGAAGGUGAAGUCGUAACA